rnacentral:rRNA from 1 species
GACGAACGCUGGCGGCGUGCCUAAUACAUGCAAGUAGGACGCAGUUGCGAACGGGUGUGUAACGCGCAGGUAACUGCCUCUUAGAGGGGGGUAACUAUUGGCAACGAUAGCUAAUACCGCAUACUCGUAGAUGGACCUGCGUUGUAUUAGUUAGUAGGUAGGGUAAUGGCCUACCUAGGCAACGAUACAUAGCCGACCUGGGAGGGUGAUCGGCCAAAAUGGGACUGGGAAACGGGCCAGACUCCUACGGGGGGCAGCAGGAGGGGAUCUUCGGCAAUGGGGGGAACGCUGGCCGAGCAACGCCGCGUGAGGGAAGAAGGUUUUCGGAUCGUAAAGCUCUGUUGUUAAGGAAGCGGUACUUAACCAGAAAGGGACGGCUAACUACGUGCCAGCCGCCGCGGUAAUAC